rnacentral:rRNA from 1 species
UACGUAGGGGGCUAGCGUUGUCCGGAAUCAUUGGGCGUAAAGCGCGUGUAGGCGGUCCGGGAAGUCCGCUGUGAAAGUCGGGGGCUCAACCCUCGAAUGCCGGUGGAUACUGUCGGGCUAGAGUGCGGAAGAGGCGAGUGGAAUUCCUGGUGUAGCGGCGAAAUGCGCAGAUAUCAGGAGGAACACCAAUUGCGAAGGCAGCUCGCUGGGACGUUACUGACGCUGAGACGCGAAAGCGUGGGGAGCAAACAGG